rnacentral:rRNA from 1 species
GGGGAAUUUUCCGCAAUGGGCGAAAGCCUGACGGAGCAAUACCGCGUGAGGGAUGAAGGCUCUUGGGUCGUAAACCUCUUUUCUCAAGGAAGAUAAUGACGGUACUUGAGGAAUCAGCAUCGGCUAACUCCGUGCCAGCAGCCGCGGUAAUACGGAGGAUGCAAGCGUUAUCCGGAAUGAUUGGGCGUAAAGCGUCCGCAGGUGGUUUUGUAAGUCUGCUGUCAAAGCGUCAUGCUUAACAUGAUACAGGCAGUGGAAACUACGGGACUAGAGUGCGUUAGGGGUGAAGGGAAUUCCUGGUGUAGCGGUGAAAUGCGUAGAGAUCAGGAAGAACACCGGUGGCGAAGGCGCUUCACUAUGCCGCAACUGACACUGAGGGACGAAAGCUAGGGGAGCGAAUGGGAUUAGAUACCCCAGUAG